rnacentral:rRNA from 1 species
GACGAACGCUGGCGGCGUGCUUAACACAUGCAAGUCGAACGGAAAGGCCCUGCUUUUGUGGGGUGCUCGAGUGGCGAACGGGUGAGUAGCACGUGAGUAACCUGCCCUUGACUUUGGGAUAACUUCAGGAAACUGGGGCUAAUACCGGAUAGGAGCUCCUGCUGCAUGGUGGGGGUUGGAAAGUUUCGGCGGUUGGGGAUGGACUCGCGGCUUAUCAGCUUGUUGGUGGGGUAGUGGCUUACCAAGGCUUUGACGGGUAGCCGGCCUGAGAGGGUGACCGGCCACAUUGGAACUGAGAAACGGCCCAGACUCCUACGGGAGACAGCAGUGGGGAAUAAUGCACAAUGGGCGGAAGCCUGAUGCAGCAACGCCGCGUGCGGGAUGACGGCCUUCGGGUUGUAAACCGCUUUCGCCUGUGACGAAGCGUGAAUGACGGUAAUGGGUAAAGAAGCUCCGGCUAACUACGUG